rnacentral:rRNA from 1 species
AGAGUUGAUUCUGGCUCAGGAUGAACGCUAGCGGCAGGCUUAAUACAUGCAAGUCGUGGGGCAGCGCAGUGUAGCAAUACAUGGGCGGCGACCGGCAAACGGGUGCGGAACACGUACACAACCUUCCUUCAAGUGGGGAAUAGCCCAGAGAAAUUUGGAUUAAUACCCCGUAAUAUUAUGAAGUGGCAUCACUUUAUACUUAUAGCUCCGGCGCUUGAUGAUGGGUGUGCGGCUGAUUAGGUAGUUGGCGGGGUAACGGCCCACCAAGCCUACGAUCAGUAACUGGUGUGAGAGCACGACCAGUCACACGGGCACUGAGACACGGGCCCGACUCCUACGGGAGGCAGCAGUAAGGAAUAUUGGGCAAUGGAGGCAACUCUGACCCAGCCAUGCCGCGUGGAGGAUGAAGGUCCUCUGGAUUGUAAACUUCUUUUAUAUGGGACGAAAAAGGGCCUUUCUAGGUCAACUGACGGUACCAUAUGAAUAAGCACCGGCUAACUCCGUGCCAGCAGCCGCGGUAAUUCA